AGAACGAACGCUGGCGGCAGGCCUCAAACAUGCAAGUCUAGGGGGUGUAGCAAUACAUCACCGGCGGACGGGUGCGUAACACGUGGGAAUAUACCUUUUGGUUCGGAACAACGCAGGGAAACUUGCGCUAAUACCGAAUGUGCCCUUACGGGGGAAAGAUUUAUCGCCAAAGGAUUAGCCCGCGUAGGAUUAGCUAGUUGGUGAGGUAAUGGCUCACCAAGGCUCCGAUCCUUAGCUGUUCUGAGAGGAAGAUCAGCCACACUGGGACUGAGACACGGCCCAGACUCCUACGGGAGGCAGCAGUGGGGAAUCUUGCGCAAUGGGCGAAAGCCUGACGCAGCGACGCCGCGUGGGGGAUGAAGGCCUUCGGGUUGUAAACCCCUUUCAGCAGGGACGAAGCGAAAGUGACGGUACCUGCAGAAGAAGCGCCGGCUAACUACGUGCCAGCAGCCGC
rnacentral:rRNA from 1 species